UGGGGAAUUUUGGACAAUGGGGGCAACCCUGAUCCAGCCAUGCCGCGUGAGUGAAGAAGGCCUUCGGGUUGUAAAGCUCUUUCGGCGGGGACGAAACGGUUCGUGUUAACACCACGGACUAAUGACGGUACUCGCAGAAGAAGCACCGGCUAACUACGUGCCAGCAGCCGCGGUAAUACGUAGGGUGCAGGCGUUAAUCGGAAUUACUGGGCGUAAAGCGUGCGCAGGCGGCUCCUUAAGUCAGAUGUGAAAGCCCCGGGCUUAACCUGGGAACUGCGUUUGAAACUGGGGAGCUAGAGUGUAGAAGAGGGGGGUGGAAUUCCAGGUGUAGCAGUGAAAUGCGUAGAGAUCUGGAGGAACACCGAUGGCGAAGGCAGCCCCCUGGGCUAACACUGACGCUCAUGCACGAAAGCGUGGGGAGCGAACAGGAUUAGAUACCCUUGUAGUCCCUGAGCGGGCUGGCAAGGCGCAU
rnacentral:rRNA from 1 species